GACGAACGCUGGCGGCGUGCCUAAUACAUGCAAGUUGAGCGCUGAAGGUUGGUACUUGUACCAACUGGAUGAGCAGCGAACGGGUGAGUAACGCGUGGGGAAUCUGCCUUUGAGCGGGGGACAACAUUUGGAAACGAAUGCUAAUACCGCAUAAAAACUUUAAACACAAGUUUUAAGUUUGAAAGAUGCAAUUGCAUCACUCAAAGAUGAUCCCGCGUUGUAUUAGCUAGUUGGUGAGGUAAAGGCUCACUAAGGCGAUGAUACAUAGCCGACCUGAGAGGGUGAUCGGCCACAUUGGGACUGAGACACGGCCCAAACUCCUACGGGAGGCAGCAGUAGGGAAUCUUCGGCAAUGGACGAAAGUCUGACCGAGCAACGCCGCGUGAGUGAAGAAGGUUUUCGGAUCGUAAAACUCUGUUGGUAGUGAAGAACGUUGGUGAGAGUGGAAAGCUCAUCAAGUGACGGUAACUACCCAGAAAGGGACGGCUAACUACGUG
rnacentral:rRNA from 1 species